UUUUCUGUGACUACCACGGCCACUCCAGAAAGAAGAACGUCUUCCUGUACGGCUGCAGUCUGAAGGAGACCCUCUGGCAGUCUGGCUCUUCUGUUAACACUAUGGGAUUAAAAGAGGACCCUGGAUAUAGGACCAUUCCAAAGACCUUGGAUAGCAUCGCACCAGCCUUCUCUUUCAACAGCUGCAACUAUUUGGUGGAGAAAUCCCGCUCUUCCACAGCCAGGGUGGUGGUGUGGAGGGAGAUGGGCGUGCUGAGAAGUUAUACCAUGGAGAGCACUCACAAUGGCUGCGACCAGGGAAUAU